rnacentral:rRNA from 1 species
AUUGAACGCUGGCGGCAGGCCUAACACAUGCAAGUCGAGCGGAUGAAGGGAGCUUGCUCCUGGAUUCAGCGGCGGACGGGUGAGUAAUGCCUAGGAAUCGGCCUGGUAGUGGGGGAUAACGUCCGGAAACGGGCGCUAAUACCGCAUACGUCCUGAGGGAGAAAGUGGGGGAUCUUCGGACCUCACGCUAUCAGAUGAGCCUAGGUCGGAUUAGCUAGUUGGUGGGGUAAAGGCCUACCAAGGCGACGAUCCGUAACUGGUCUGAGAGGAUGAUCAGUCACACUGGAACUGAGACACGGUCCAGACUCCUACGGGAGGCAGCAGUGGGGAAUAUUGGACAAAGGGCGAAAGCCUGAUCCAGCCAUGCCGCGUGUGUGAAGAAGGUCUUCGGAUUGUAAAGCACUUUAAGUUGGGAGGAAGGGCAGUAAGUUAAUACCUUGCUGUUUUGACGUUACCAACAGAAUAAGCACCGGCUAACUUCGUG